rnacentral:rRNA from 1 species
ACUAAGCGUACACGGUGGAUGCCCUGGCAGUCAGAGGCGAUGAAGGACGUGCUAAUCUGCGAUAAGCGUCGGUAAGGUGAUAUGAACCGUUAUAACCGGCGAUUUCCGAAUGGGGAAACCCAGUGUGAUUCGUCACACUAUCAUUAACUGAAUCCAUAGGUUAAUGAGGCGAACCGGGGGAACUGAAACAUCUAAGUACCCCGAGGAAAAGAAAUCAACCGAGAUUCCCCAGUAGCGGCGAGCGAACGGGGAGCAGCCCAGAGCCUGAAUCAGUGUGUGUGUUAGUGGAAGCGUCUGGAAAGGCGCGCGAUACAGGGUGACAGCCCCGUACACAAAAAUGCACAUGCUGUGAGCUCGAUGAGUAGGGCGGGACACGUGGUAUCCUGUCUGAAUAUGGGGGGACCAUCCUCCAAGGCUAAAUACUCCUGACUGACCGAUAGUGAACCAGUACCGUGAGGGAAAGGCGAAAAGAACCCCGGCGAGGGGAGUGAAAAAGAACCUGAAACCGUGUACGUACAAGCAGUGGGAGCACGCUUAGGCGUGUGACUGCGUACCUUUUGUAUAAUGGGUCAGCGACUUAUAUUCUGUAGCAAGGUUAACCGAAUAGGGGAGCCGAAGGGAAACCGAGUCUUAACUGGGCGUUAAGUUGCAGGGUAUAGACCCGAAACCCGGUGAUCUAGCCAUGGGCAGGUUGAAGGUUGGGUAACACUAACUGGAGGACCGAACCGACUAAUGUUGAAAAAUUAGCGGAUGACUUGUGGCUGGGGGUGAAAGGCCAAUCAAACCGGGAGAUAGCUGGUUCUCCCCGAAAGCUAUUUAGGUAGCGCCUCGUGAAUUCAUCUCCGGGGGUAGAGCACUGUUUCGGCAAGGGGGUCAUCCCGACUUACCAACCCGAUGCAAACUGCGAAUACCGGAGAAUGUUAUCACGGGAGACACACGGCGGGUGCUAACGUCCGUCGUGAAGAGGGAAACAACCCAGACCGCCAGCUAAGGUCCCAAAGUCAUGGUUAAGUGGGAAACGAUGUGGGAAGGCCCAGACAGCCAGGAUGUUGGCUUAGAAGCAGCCAUCAUUUAAAGAAAGCGUAAUAGCUCACUGGUCGAGUCGGCCUGCGCGGAAGAUGUAACGGGGCUAAACCAUGCACCGAAGCUGCGGCAGCGACACUGUGUGUUGUUGGGUAGGGGAGCGUUCUGUAAGCCUGCGAAGGUGUGCUGUGAGGCAUGCUGGAGGUAUCAGAAGUGCGAAUGCUGACAUAAGUAACGAUAAAGCGGGUGAAAAGCCCGCUCGCCGGAAGACCAAGGGUUCCUGUCCAACGUUAAUCGGGGCAGGGUGAGUCGACCCCUAAGGCGAGGCCGAAAGGCGUAGUCGAUGGGAAACAGGUUAAUAUUCCUGUACUUGGUGUUACUGCGAAGGGGGACGGAGAAGGCUAUGUUGGCCGGGCGACGGUUGUCCCGGUUUAAGCGUGUAGGCUGGUUUUCCAGGCAAAUCCGGAAAAUCAAGGCUGAGGCGUGAUGACGAGGCACUACGGUGCUGAAGCAACAAAUGCCCUGCUUCCAGGAAAAGCCUCUAAGCAUCAGGUAACAUCAAAUCGUACCCCAAACCGACACAGGUGGUCAGGUAGAGAAUACCAAGGCGCUUGAGAGAACUCGGGUGAAGGAACUAGGCAAAAUGGUGCCGUAACUUCGGGAGAAGGCACGCUGAUACGUAGGUGAAGUCCCUCGCGGAUGGAGCUGAAAUCAGUCGAAGAUACCAGCUGGCUGCAACUGUUUAUUAAAAACACAGCACUGUGCAAACACGAAAGUGGACGUAUACGGUGUGACGCCUGCCCGGUGCCGGAAGGUUAAUUGAUGGGGUCAGCGCAAGCGAAGCUCUUGAUCGAAGCCCCGGUAAACGGCGGCCGUAACUAUAACGGUCCUAAGGUAGCGAAAUUCCUUGUCGGGUAAGUUCCGACCUGCACGAAUGGCGUAAUGAUGGCCAGGCUGUCUCCACCCGAGACUCAGUGAAAUUGAACUCGCUGUGAAGAUGCAGUGUACCCGCGGCAAGACGGAAAGACCCCGUGAACCUUUACUAUAGCUUGACACUGAACAUUGAGCCUUGAUGUGUAGGAUAGGUGGGAGGCUUUGAAGUGUGGACGCCAGUCUGCAUGGAGCCGACCUUGAAAUACCACCCUUUAAUGUUUGAUGUUCUAACGUUGACCCGUAAUCCGGGUUGCGGACAGUGUCUGGUGGGUAGUUUGACUGGGGCGGUCUCCUCCUAAAGAGUAACGGAGGAGCACGAAGGUUGGCUAAUCCUGGUCGGACAUCAGGAGGUUAGUGCAAUGGCAUAAGCCAGCUUGACUGCGAGCGUGACGGCGCGAGCAGGUGCGAAAGCAGGUCAUAGUGAUCCGGUGGUUCUGAAUGGAAGGGCCAUCGCUCAACGGAUAAAAGGUACUCCGGGGAUAACAGGCUGAUACCGCCCAAGAGUUCAUAUCGACGGCGGUGUUUGGCACCUCGAUGUCGGCUCAUCACAUCCUGGGGCUGAAGUAGGUCCCAAGGGUAUGGCUGUUCGCCAUUUAAAGUGGUACGCGAGCUGGGUUUAGAACGUCGUGAGACAGUUCGGUCCCUAUCUGCCGUGGGCGCUGGAGAAUUGAGGGGGGCUGCUCCUAGUACGAGAGGACCGGAGUGGACGCAUCACUGGUGUUCGGGUUGUCAUGCCAAUGGCACUGCCCGGUAGCUAAAUGCGGAAGAGAUAAGUGCUGAAAGCAUCUAAGCACGAAACUUGCCCGAGAUGAGUUCUCCCUGACUCCUUGAGAGUCCUGAAGGAACGUUGAAGACGACGACGUUGAUAGGCCGGGUGUGUAAGCGCAGCGAUGCGUUGAGCUAACCGGUACUAAUGAACCGUGAGGCUUAACC